UAUCUUCGAAUGUACAGGCAUCAAGAUUUUCCCAGCGACUCCGUUGCAAUCUUCAAGUAUAACAGGUAUUGGAGUUAUUUUCGUUUUGCUCAGCGUGAAUUGCUGAAAUCUCAGAUCGACCUCAACAGUGGUUACUGAAAGUGAAGCGAACGAAGUGGAGAUCGUCUCUGACGCCGACUGGAAUAAAAUUGAUCUUCAAGCAUUUUCGAUAUGGAUACGAAAUCUGACUACUUCGAAGAUAUUUCUGUUCUGCUACAACAAGCAUUGAAAAUAAACAACAAAACAGAAACUGAUUUGAAACAAGAUAUUCAAAUUCUCAGAAAAUGGAUGGAAAGCCAAACACAUCUGCCUGAAAUACCCACCAUGGAAAUUCCGUUUUUUAUUGAUGAAUAUUUUUUGGUUCAGAUUGAAGGAAACAGUGUCUAAGUGGGUUGAGCAAUAUGAAUGAAAUAACUGAAAAUCAAUUCAUAUGGUAAUUGAAAGAAUACAUCUUCACUAGCAAUUGAUGAUGAAUAACUCCGGCACAUCGGCAUAAGUUAGAAUAAACGUCUUUCCUGUGUAACAUGUGAAUAGAAUUUAU